rnacentral:rRNA from 1 species
GACGAACGCUGGCGGCGUGCCUAAUACAUGCAAGUAGAACGCUGAAGAGAGGAGCUUGCUCUUCUUGGAUGAGUUGCGAACGGGUGAGUAACGCGUAGGUAACCUGCCUGGUAGCGGGGGAUAACUAUUGGAAACGAUAGCUAAUACCGCAUAAAAUUGAUUAUUGCAUGAUAAUUAAUUGAAAGAUGCAAUUGCAUCACUACCAGAUGGACCUGCGUUGUAUUAGCUAGUUGGUGAGGUAACGGCUCACCAAGGCGACGAUACAUAGCCGACCUGAGAGGGUGAUCGGCCACACUGGGACUGAGACACGGCCCAGACUCCUACGGGAGGCAGCAGUAGGGAAUCUUCGGCAAUGGGGGGAACCCUGACCGAGCAACGCCGCGUGAGUGAAGAAGGUUUUCGGAUCGUAAAGCUCUGUUGUAAGAAAAGAACGGGUGUGAGAGUGGAAAGUUCACACUGUGACGUAUCUACCAGAAAGG